AAUGUUCAAGACGUGAUGGAUGCU
rnacentral:piRNA from 1 species